rnacentral:tRNA from 1 species
AGCUGUGUGGCCUAGUGGAUUAGCACUGGUCUGGGAAUCAGAGGACCUGGGUUCUAAUUCUAGCAAAGCCA